rnacentral:misc_RNA from 1 species
GAAAUGCGAUAAGUAAUGUGAAUUGCAGAAUUCAGUGAAUCAUCGAAUCUUUGAACGCACAUUGCGCCCGCCAGUAUUCUGGCGGGCAUGCCUGUCCGAGCGUCAUUUCAACCAUCAAGCCCCCGGGCUUGUGUUGGGGACCUGCGGCUGCCCGCAGGCCCUGAAAACCAGUGGCGGGCUCGCUGUCACACCGAGCGUAGUAGCAAUCACCUCGCUCAGGGCGUGCUGCGGGUUCCGGCCGUUAAACAGCCUUACAAAACCCAAGGUUGACCUCGGAUCAGGUAGAAAGACCCGCUGAACUUAAGC